rnacentral:rRNA from 1 species
UACGGAGGGGGCAAGCGUUGUUCGGAAUUACUGGGCGUAAAGCGCUUGCAGGCGGCUUUCCAAGUCAGAGGUGAAAUCCCGGAGCUCAACUCCGGAACUGCCAUUGAAACUGUUUAGCUUGAGGAUGAGAGAGGUGAGUGGAAUUCCCAGUGUAGAGGUGAAAUUCGUAGAUAUUGGGAAGAACACCAGUGGCGAAGGCGCUCUGCUAGGCCGUAACUGACACUGAGGGACGAAAGCUAGGGGAGCGAAUGGG